UACGAAGGGGGCUAGCGUUGCUCGGAAUCACUGGGCGUAAAGGGCGCGUAGGCGGUCUGCUAAGUUGGAUGUGAAAACUCUGGGCUUAACCCAGAGCCUGCAUUCAAUACUGACAGGCUAGAGUUCUGGAGGGGAUAGCGGAAUUCCUGGUGUAGCGGUGAAAUGCGUAGAUAUCGAGGAGGAACACCGGUGGCGAAGGCGGCUAUCUGGACAGAGU
rnacentral:rRNA from 1 species